UGCCUAAUGAUAUAGAGCUGC
rnacentral:siRNA from 1 species